CAGAAAUCAGAUAACAUUGUACUGCUAAAAUGACUGCUUUUGUAUUAUGUUUGUAGGAUGCGAAAUGUCCUCAGACUGGUGUGAGCACUGAGGAUGGAGAGACACAGCAGAUCCUGGGAAUGGUUCCGUGUCAUGGAUGAGACUCUCCAUCACUCCUCCUGCCCUUACUGCCUCAUCUGACCUGAUGUUGAUGUGAUUUCUUCAUCCUCAGGAUGAUCCCGUUGGAGCAACCUGGAGUAAAGUGUCUUGAUCAAGGACACACUGGUGGAGACACUGCAGAGAUCAAACCAGCAACCUUCUGCUGACCAGCUCAGUGGUUUAGGCCACUACACCACAAACUCAUGCUGAUGGAGAGCACAUGAAUGUUUGCAGCAGACACAGCAGAGCCAGAUUGUCUCGCACAUCUUUUCCCACUCCUGCUUCAAGCUUGUGGGGUUCAGAGGAUCAUCAUCAUGGUCUUCCUCAUCCUCUGGAUCAAC